GUGUCAGCAGCCGCGGUAAGACGAACCGUGCGAACGUUGUUCGGAAUCACUGGGCUUAAAGGGCGCGUAGGCGGGCUCGCAAGUCAGGGGUGAAAGCCCGCGGCUCAACCGCGGAAGCGCCUUUGAUACUGCGGGCCUCGAGGGGGGUAGGGGCGUGCGGAACUUCCGGUGGAGCGGUGAAAUGCGUAGAUAUCGGAAGGAACACCGGUGGCGAAAGCGGCGCGCUGGACCCCUUCUGACGCUGAGGCGCGAAAGCCAGGGGAGCAAACGGGAUUAGAUACCCCUGUAGUCC
rnacentral:rRNA from 1 species